AUCAAGUUUAUCAUGCUCGAUAAGAUUAAGCCAUCCGCACAAAACAACUCCAGCUGCACUUGUGAAGUACUGCAAUGCAGUUAGUGCUCCCGGGUACGGAAAUUUCAUUAUGGCCCACUUGUUAAUGAUGGAGAGCAGUGAUGCUGAAAGACAAACCGAUGCUUGCUGAAGUAAGCCACUAUACCAAGUUGAUUGGAAACUCUGAGACGGGGAAGAAGCAUCCAAAGAAGAUGAUGCUGAAAGACAGUACCCAGCAGCUAUACCAUAAACCGAUGCUUGCUGAAGUAAGCCACUAUACCAAGUUGAUUGGAAACUCUGAGAUGGGGAAGAAACAUCCAAAGACUCCCUGGAAUCUUCAUCUUUGGGAUUU
rnacentral:lncRNA from 1 species